UUAAUCGUUUUUUUGCGUUGGAUUGCGUGGGCUGAACAAUCCGGACAUCGUGGCCACCGACGUGGACCCCCGCCACCGGGACCCCCGCAGAGCGGAUUGUACACCCAGAGGCUUCAACAGAGCGGGUCUGGAGCUGGGAGCUGCAGGUGGAGGGAAGGCCGGGAGCCAUGCAGCCCAACGGAUGCAGAACGAAGGACUGAGGCGGAGGUCCUGGAGGCAGAGGCCAGCCUGGAGGCGGAGGUCCUGGAGGCGUCCAACCUGGAAGGGACGGCAUGGAGGGCCAGGUGGCGGCUCCUCAUCCAAAGGGCCUGGAGGCGGCCAACCUGGAAGGCCUGGAGACGGCCGAGGUCCUGGAGGCAACGGCGGUCCUGGAGGCAACGGCGGGCCUGGAGGCAACGGCGGGCCUGGAGGCAACGGCGGGCCUGGAGGUGGAGGCCAACCUGGAGGUCCUGGAGUCGGUGGUUGGGACCAACCUGGAGGUCCCGGCGGUGGCGUCCACCUGGCGGCGGUCAGCCUGGAGGGCCCGGCGGCGGUCAGCCUGGAGGGCCCGGCGGCGGUCAGCCUGGAGGGCCCGGCGGCGGUCAGCCUGGAGGGCCCGGCGGCGGCGGCGUCCUGGAGGGCCCGGAGGCGGCGGCGUCCUGGAGGGCCCGGAGGCAGUGGCUCCUCAUUCAAAGAAAUGAGGCGACGUUGCGGAGGUCCAGGCGGUUGGCCCGGUGGAGGUCCUGGAGGAGACGGUCCCGGCGGUGGAGGACGGCUGGGGGAUCCGGCGGUGGAGGUCCGAAGGCGGCUCGUGAUUAGACCAACCAGCUCCUCAUCAAUAGAAGCAGGAUUGAAGGAGUCACUGGGGAUGAAGAUCACUGCUCAGGGGCUGACGACCACUCAUCUUUCCGGAGAAGGCGGUCAAACCUCCACCUCUUUGAAGAGACCAAGCAGCUUGAUGACUGACUGGUUCUUUAUACUCAAGACCUCGUCCCGGAGCAGAGGAUAGACCUAAGGCCUACAGCGCAGCAGACUAGAGACUCUAUUUUCAUUUAUUCUACAAGGCUCAAUUAAGUUGACCUCUCCUUCAGGCGACUUAAAGGGAGACCAGAUGUGCGGCAGCUGGGUGUCAUGGUGCAGAGACCCAACGCUGUACUGAACUACAACAGUGUGUCCUACUCCCAUAAACCCUGAGGAUCCCUGGAUGGCUACACCAGCACAUUAAUUCACACCCAACAUCAACACACAGUGCACACUCUAUAGAGCUCGUAAGUCCGCCCCUUGCGGCGGGACCUUGUGAGAUCGUAAGAUAUGACUGGGUUUCAAUGGAGAGAAAGUAAUUAUUUUCUCCAUUUUAUGUUGCACCACAUUUUGGGGGAAGAAUGUUUGAAUCAAUCUUUGUCAUUUAUUUCUGUACUCCAUAUCUGUAAUCCCAGCUGUUGUAUUUUAACACGGUAGCUGGGAACCCUCUUUAUAGGGAGCGACUAGAGGGACGAGGCUGGAAGCAAACCUGAGCCUGGAUCUUAACCUUCUUUCUAAACCUAAUGCCGCAAUUUAACAGCAAAUAAAGUGAGGCCUAAAGUAACUUGACUCUCUUGCCUAAACUCGCUUGCCUAAACUCGCUUGCCUAAACUCGCUUGCAUAAAACCUGAACUUGCUUGGCUAAACUCGCGUCGCUUGCCUAAUACCUGAACUUGCUUGCCUAAACUCGCUUGCCUAAUACCUGAAGUCGCUUGCCUAAACUCGUUUGCCUAAACUCGCUUGCAUAAAACCUAAACUUGCUUAGCUUGACUCCCUUGCCUGUACUCGCUUGGCUAAACUCGCUUGCAUAAAACCUAAACUCGCUUGCAUAAAACCUAAACUCGCUUGCAUAAAACCUAAACUCGCUUGCAUAAAACCUAAACUCGCUUGCAUAGAACCUAAACUCGCUUGCCUGUACUCGCUUUGCUAAACUCGCUUGCCUAAUACCUGAAGUCGCUUGCCUAAAACCUAAACUUGCUUGUCCAAACACGUUACACAAAGUUAACAUCCAUAAUCUUUAACACAAACCAGACUUGUCCCUGGGUCGCUCCACUUUAAUUUAGAAGUUUCUUCUUUUACCUCAUCUGCGUUUUGAGUUUCAUUCUUUGAGGGCUUGAAGUGCUUUGGAGGAUAUUUGAACCUUUGUUUGCCGCAUCAAUAAACAUGCUUUAUCUUUACCCAUUUUGUUUUGGAUUGCAUUUCUAUGUGUAAUCCGGCCAAAUGUUCAGUGUCCUUACAUGUAAUGUCUGGUCUGACGAUAAUCUGACCUCUUCAUGAAGCAGAAUGUGUGUGAAUGUUGUCCCGUGAGCUCCAGGCUCUGUGGGCCUGUCAACGUCUCUUUAGCAAAAGGUUGGAGAGUGAAAUUCAUUUUUGUGCCAUUUUCAUGUGUUCCUGAGUAUUUCAGACCUGUGGUGUUUCACAUGAAACCUUAAUGGGAACUUUUCUUUUUCUGCCUGCAUACGUAAUGCCUACAUUAGUAGGGUGAUCACUGUUGAUCGCAAUAAUGAUCAUUAACCACCUCAUUCUUUGGGAUUACAAAUCAUGUAAUUUAUGAGCAUAUUUGCAAAUGCCUCCAAAUAUCAGAUUGUGUAAAAACGAAUGAAAUGUAACCUGCUUGAUUUAAAGAAAAUAAAACAUCCAAAUAUUAUAAAGCUGUUUUGUGUUGCUCUCUUACC